UUGGAGGGCAAGUCUGGUGCCAGCAGCCGCGGUAAUUCCAGCUCCAAUAGCGUAUAUUAAAGUUGUUGCAGUUAAAAAGCUCGUAGUUGAACUUCAGGCCUGGUCGGGCGGUCUGCCUCACGGUAUGUACUGUCUGACUGGGUCUUACCUCUUGGUGAGCCGGCAUGCUCUUCACUGGGUGUGUCGGGGAACCAGGACUUUUACUUUGAGAAAAUUAGAGUGUUCAAAGCAGGCCUAUGCCCGAAUACAUUAGCAUGGAAUAAUAGAAUAGGACUUUGGUUCUAUUUUGUUGGUUUCUAGGACCGAAGUAAUGAUUAAUAGGGAUGGUUGGGGGCAUUAGUAUUUAAUUGUCAGAGGUGAAAUUCUUGGAUUUAUGAAAGACUAACUUCUGCGAAAGCAUUUGCCAAGGAUGUUUUCAUUAAUCAAGAACGAAAGUUAGGGGAUCGAAGACGAUCAGAUACCGUCGUAGUCUUAACCAUAAACUAUGCCGACUAGGGAUCGGACGACGUUAAAUAAAUGACUCGUUCGGCGCCUUACGGGAAAC
rnacentral:rRNA from 1 species